GAUGAACGCUGGCGGCGUGCCUAACACAUGCAAGUCGAGCGAACUCUUCGGGGUGAGCGGCGGACGGGUGAGUAACGCGUGGGUAACCUGCCCUGUACACACGGAUAACAUACCGAAAGGUAUGCUAAUACGAGAUGAUGUAUAAAAGUUGCAUGACUUUUAUAUCAAAGCUUUUGCGGUACAGGAUGGACCCGCGUCUGAUUAGCUAGUUGGUAAGGUAACGGCUUACCAAGGCGACGAUCAGUAGCCGACCUGAGAGGGUGAUCGGCCACACUGGAACUGAGACACGGCCCAGACUCCUACGGGAGGCAGCAGUGGGGAAUAUUGCACAAUGGGCGAAAGCCUGAUGCAGCAACGCCGCGUGAGCGAUGAAGGCCUUCGGGUCGUAAAGCUCUGUCCUCAAGGAAGAUAAUGACGGUACUGAGA
rnacentral:rRNA from 1 species